rnacentral:lncRNA from 1 species
UCAAUAUUAUAAACUCCAUUCACUUCAGAUUUUCAGUUACAACUUCUUGAAAUGCUUUUUCAAUAGCCAGUUUCAAGAAUCCCUUUCAUUCCACCAAAGAAAAAAUUGAUACUUUUGAUCUCGAGGCGGAGAUACCUUCAAGAUAGUUUGUGGGACUACACUAGAUUUGUUAUUAUUGUUGUCGCUGAUCUCGAGACGCAAAUAAAUUAAGGUAGGGUAAGGUCUGUAUACACACUAAACUCCACUUGUGUGAAUACAUUAAGUUUGUUGUUGUCGUUGUUGAUCUCGAGGCGGAGAUACCUUCAAGGUAGGGUACACUAGAUUUUGUUAUUGUUGUUGCUGCUGAUCUUGAGGCGGAGAUACAUUCAAGGUAGGGUAAGGUCUCUAUCCACAUUACCCUUCUCAAACCACACUUGUGAGACUACACUAAGUUUGUUGUUAUCGUUGUUGUUGAUCUCGAGGAGGAGAUACCUUCAAGGUAGGGUAAGGUCAGCGUACACACUACCUUCCUCAAACUCCACUUGUG